AAAAGAGCCCUUAUAGGUCACUUUGACAUUAGUGCCCAAGGGCAGUUGUUUGCAUUUUGUCAUGUCAUUGAGAUUAAGUGGAGGAAGAACAGCUCCUCCAAAGGAGAAAGAAAUGGGACAUUGUUACGAGAGGCAUUCCAUUGAUAAGGUAUGUUGCUGCAAGGACUGCAUCCCCCAAUCGAGAGAAAUAAAUUCUCAAGAGAAAUAAAUUAUCAACUUUUAAUUCUCAAAUUAAUUAUCAAUCAUAGAA
rnacentral:misc_RNA from 1 species